UACGGAGGGUGCGAGCGUUGUUCGGAAUCCCUGGGCGUAAAGCGCGUGUAGGCGGCCCAUUAAGUCGGGUGUGAAAUCCCCAGGCUUAACCUGGGAACUGCAUUCGAGACUGCAUUGCUAGAGUAUGGGAGAGGGAAGUGGAAUUUCCGGUGUAGCGGUGAAAUGCGUAGAUAUCGGAAGGAACAUCAGUGGCGAAAGCGACUUCCUGGACCAAUACUGACGCUCAUGUGCGAAAGCGUGGGGAGCAAACAGG
rnacentral:rRNA from 1 species